AGUGAACGCUGGCGGUAGGCCUAACACAUGCAAGUCGAACGGCAGCACAGUAAGAGCUUGCUCUUACGGGUGGCGAGUGGCGGACGGGUGGGGAAUACAUCGGAAUCUACUUUUUCGUGGGGGAUAACGUAGGGAAACUUACGCUAAUACCGCAUACGACCUACGGGUGAAAGCAGGGGAUCUUCGGACCUUGCGCGAUUGAAUGAGCCGAUGUCGGAUUAGCUAGUUGGCGGGGUAAAGGCCCACCAAGGCGACGAUCCGUAGCUGGUCUGAGAGGAUGAUCAGCCACACUGGAACUGAGACACGGUCCAGACUCCUACGGGAGGCAGCAGUGGGGAAUAUUGGACAAUGGGCGCAAGCCUGAUCCAGCCAUAUCGCGUGGGUGAAGAAGGCCUUCGGGUUGUAAAGCCCUUUUGUUGGGAAAGAAAAGCAGCAGGUUAAUACCCCGCUGUUCUGACGGUACCCAAAGAAUAAGCACCGGCUAACUUCGUG
rnacentral:rRNA from 1 species